rnacentral:miRNA from 1 species
UAAUCCAAGUUUCAGUUCAUGUAAACAUCCUACACUCAGCUGUGAUACAUACCAAUGGCUGGGAGGUGGGUGUUUACCUCAGCUGACUUGGAAUGU